CAGCCGCCGCGGUAAUACCGGCGGCCCGAGUGGCGGCCACUAUUAUUGGGCCUAAAGCGUCCGUAGCCGGGCUGGUAAGUCCUCCGGGAAAUCUGGUCGCUUAACGAUCAGACUUCCGGAGGAUACUGCUGGCCUAGGGACCGGGAGAGGCCGAGGGUAUUCCCGGGGUAGGGGUGAAAUCCUGUAAUCCCGGGAGGACCACCUGUGGCGAAGGCGCUCGGCUGGAACGGGUCCGACGGUGAGGGACGAAGGCCAGGGGAGCGAACCGGAUUAGAUACCCGGGUAGUCCUGGCUGUAAACGAUGCGGACUAGGUGUCGGGCAAGCUAAGGGCUUGUCCGGUGCCGCAGGGAAGCCGUUAAGUCCGCCGCCUGGGGAGUACGGCCGCAAGGCUGAAACUUAAAGGAAUUGGCGGG
rnacentral:rRNA from 1 species